CGUAAAAACUUAAAAGAUAUGAGUGACAGGUUUAAUAAAUGUAUUUGUAUCUUGAUAAUGAAGAUUGUAGCAUAGCCAAUACUGUUAAUUUAAGUUUUUAUAUUUUUAAGAAUAUUUUUUCAAUUAUUUUAUGUGAAUUUUUUUUCUUGUAUAGUAUCUCAUACUAUGAUGAACACGUUAAAUUUUUAUUUACUGUUUUAUGGCGUUAUGAUUGUUAUUGUUAGAUACAACCCUCUUACCAUGAUCUUUUAUGUAAAAAGUUUGGCAAUAAUAAUAAAAAAAGAGGGUCAGGUGCACUACCACCUCACAGCAUCACUAACUCAACAGUCCAGUACAGUUUCUCUCAGCGACAAUAUCUGCACAAACGAAACGUCGAACAGCUGCUCGAAGAUCUUGCCUUUGGAGAAGAUUGUUGAUUUUAUACUCUAAAAAUAUGGUGAACCCCACAUCUUACUAUCAUCUCAACACAGCUGAGACAGUUCUGCUGCGCUGUGCUUCACAAUCUCACUCUUCUCAACGGGGAUGUCGUUGAGCAACAGGUCCUGCUCCACCACAAAAGAUCUGCAGCAAAUGCACAGAAAUCAACAAUAAGAAAAGUGCUGUAAUAAAUAACUGUUUGAAAUUACACUAAUUCAAAUGUUUUAUUUAUUUUUGUAGUGUACUUACACAAAUCCUUUGAUGGCAGCAUUCCUUCUUCAGUCACUCUACA
ensembl:lncRNA